CAUCCUAUAAACAACACUAAAGUCCUGAAGGCAGUGGACUGCAGAGUCAAAGUGCAGUUUCUUCUUCAAGACAGCGACAGGAAGUCGGUGCUGGAGAGCCAUCUGCUGCUGUUUGCCGAGGAUGGAUAUGUUGAUCUCUAUCAUGUGCUGCUAAGUAAACAGGAGGGUUACAGAGUGGU